GAUGAACGCUGACAGAAUGCUUAACACAUGCAAGUCUUUGGCGAAGCUGUGCUUGCACCGCCUAGCCAAGGCGGACGGGUGAGUAACGCGUAAGGAACUUGCCCUGCAGUCAGGGAUAACAGACGGAAACGACUGAUAAGACCUGGUAAAGUCAGGCGGACUCAUGUCCAGCCUGAUGAAAAGAGAUGCUGCAGGAGAGCCUUGCGUCCUAUUAGCUUGUUGGUGGGGUAACGGCCCACCAAGGCGAUGAUAGGUAGCCGGCCUGAGAGGGUGGACGGCCACAAGGGGACUGAGAUACGGCCCUUACUCCUACGGGAGGCAGCAGUGGGGAAUAGUGGAGAAUGGGGGCAACCCUGAUCAAGCAAUUCUGUGUGCACGAUGAAGGUUUUCGGAUUGUAAAGUGCUUUCAGCAGGGAAGAAAAAAAUGACGGUACCUGCAGAAGAAGCGACGGCUAAAUACGUG
rnacentral:rRNA from 1 species